AAACCUCAGAUACUAAUUUCAAAACAAACAAAAAUAAAAUAAAAAAGAAAGCUUAGAAAAAAGGUGCAGUGAAAAAAGUGCAAUUUGUGCAGCGUUUCCAUUCUGCAUCACAUGCGCUCUGCGUCCUUUACGUUAUUCAAAAACAACCAUUUUAAAAAUGGCAAAAAAAUAAAAAAUAGAGUAUUCUUUCCUCAGAGUUAUUGUUAUCUAAACACUUCCACGGAUAUUCUACACAUCUUUGGCUUAAUUGGUUCUGCAUUCUCAUUUCUUAACACCUAUUAAAGCCAAUCUCUUGUUUCUUUCAUAUUUAUUAUUAUUGGUUCAAAAUUUCAAUAUUUGAUUUUCUUGAUCCACAUUCAGGUGUGUUUUAUCUGUCUUUGUCUUUUCUAACCAAUUGAUAUAGAGAAAUGUUUGUCUUGAGCCGCGUUCUAUCGAAAACAGUCUCUCUACUUCAUCGAAGAUAAUGGCAUGCACUGCAUACAUUUUACCCCCAGACCCCACUAAGUGUGAAUACACUGGGUACGCCGUUGUUGUUGUGGAUAUAGAGAAAUGUAGGGUAAGAUUAUGUGCAAUAGACCAUUUGACAGUGAUGAAGCCACAAAUUUCAUUAAUCGGUGUUUAAAAUUUAAUAUCUAUGUAUGAAAGAUAAAUUUUGAUCUACAUAUUUCCUAUGAUUUUCUAUGUGUGUAUAUAUAUGUGUGUGUGAUUUUUUGAUGAAGGAAGGAUGUUUGACUGUCUACCCUUCACUACAUGUGAGUGCUUGUGAUCCACCGUUCUAAAGUUCAAGUUUUUUUUGGAGGAUUUGAUGGAUUCUGUUAGAUGGGUAUUUUUUGUUUUGUUAUUUGAGUAAUGGGAUUUUUGCUUUGUUGAGAUGUUUAUUUUUUUUGGUUCUGUUUUGGUAUGUUUGGUAUCAAUACACUUUUGUUAGUGGGGUGGAUUUGAAGGAAAGCUGAAAGAAUGUGAAGCCAAGUUAUCUUUGUUGUUGAAUGACCGUGGUCAUUGGUAAUGAACUUGUAGGAGAUUUAGUUGGUUAUUGAGAUCGAUGGACAAGAGGAAUUGGUUGUGGAAAAAGAGACCUUCUGAGAAAAGCAUUGGUGAAACUGAGAGUUCUGGUUCACUCUCUUCACAUUCAGAAAGACACUCUGAUGAGCAGGAUCCGUUAAAAGAAAUUCCAGAAAAUGACAACCAAUCACCAGAAGUGACCUCAAAAGCAGCAACUAUUGAUAAUGAAGCCAAGGAAAGUCCAAAGAAGUUGAUAGAAAAGUUAUCAGCUGCUCUAGUUAAUGUUAGUGCUAAAGAAGACUUAGUUAAGCAGCAUGCUAAAGUGGCAGAAGAAGCUGUUGCAGGUUGGGAAAAGGCAGAAAAUGAGGUUACAAUUCUAAAGCAGCAACUUGAGGCAGCUGUGCAGCAAAACUUGACUUUAGAUGUUCGUGUCAACCAUCUUAAUGGUGCUCUCAAGGAAUGUGUCAGGCAAUUGAGACAAGCUAGAGAUGAGCAGGAGCAAAGAAUUCAAAACGCUGUGGUAGAGAAGGAAAAAGAAUGGGAGUCUGAAAGAGCUGCACUUGCAAAUCAGCUAUAUGAGCUGCGGACACAAGCAGAGGCUAGUAGAACUGGUUCUCCUGUUUCUACUGAUCUGAAUGUUCUUCUCAGGCUUGAGUAUCUAGAGAAGGAGCGCACAGCUCUCAAACUUGUCCUUUCUUCUCAUUCAGAGGAGUUGCAAAUUAGGACCAUAGAGAGGGACUUGAGCAACCAAGCAGCGGAAACUGCUAGCAAACAGCAGCUAGAGAGCAUAAAGAAGGUGGCCAAGCUUGAAGCUGAAUGUCGAAGACUACAAGCUUUGGCUCGCAAAUCAUCCCUACUCAGUGACCAAAGGUCCUCUGCUGUUUCAUCUCUUUGUGUUGAGUCCAUCACCAAUAGUCAAUGCAGCAGUGGGAAGCGACUGAGGACUGUCGACACUGAUAGCCACAUGAUGAGCAAGCGUGAAACAAGUGAAUGCCAGCGAAGUUGCUCUGAUUCAUGGGCAUCAGCACUAAUUGCUGAGCUCGAUCAAUUUGAGCAUGAAAAUGGUAUGCCUAAAACUCUUGCCGCCCUGUCUUUGGAAAUUGACAUGAUGGAUGACUUCUUGGAGAUGGAGAGACUUGCUGCAAUAUCUGAAACUGUGAAUAAUGCCUCUUCACUUGCGUCUGAUGCUAUUGCUGAUGACUCAUCUAGUGAAGAGAAUCCCAUGGCUGCAGAACGUGAGACCAUUUCGCAAAGGGUGGCUGAAUUAGAGCAAAAGCUGGAGAAAAUUGAAGCCGAGAAAUCUGAGCUGGAGAAUGCUGUACGUGAGAGCCAAGACGCCCUUAUGGUGUCUGAUUUGCAGCUUAAGGAAGCUCAACUCAAGUUGGAAAAGCUGCAGAAGGAGCUAAAUGAAGUGAAUGAAUCAAAAGAGUUGCUUGAGUUUCAACUCUUUGGCAUGGAAGUAGAAUCACGGACUAUGUCUGCGAACAUUCAUUCUUUAAAGACAGAAGUUGAAAGAGAACGAUCAUUGUCAUCUGAUAUGGAAAUUAAGUGCCAGGAAUUGGAAAAUGAACUAAGAAGAAAAUCCAAAGAAUUCGAACUUCAGCAAACUUCUAGUUCAAAUAGCGAAUCGAAAAUAAAGCAGGAAGAUUUAGCUGUAGCUGCUGACAAGCUUGCAGAAUGCCAGAAAACAAUUGCAUCUCUUGGGAAGCAGCUUCAGUCACUAGCCACUUUAGAAGAUUUCUUGAUUGACACAGCAAGUCUUCCUGGAUUUUCUGGGGGAGGAUCAGUUGUGACUGGAGCUAGUGGAGAGGAAUGCAAGUUACACGUAACUGAGACAUUUAGCCCAAAGCGCAAUUCAGAUAAUGCAAAGAUUGAGAAUUAUAGUCAUUCUAUGAACGGAAAUGAAGGAGAAUCAUCCUCUUCUUCAUCAUCAUCAUCUACUCAAGUGACAACUUCCAAAAGUAGAAAUGGUUUUGGAAAGUUGUUUUUUCGAAGCAAGAGUGGAAUUCAGCUCUAAAAUGAAACAGUUGAUUUGAGUCCUAAACUUAAAAGGGAUAUGGCUAGAGGAAAGCCGAGAGGUCGAUUUCAGUGAAGAUUCAUAUAGCAGAUUGUAACUUUCUUGAGAUUGAGGAAUCAUUGUUGCCUAUCAUAUUUUCAUAUGGUUAUAGGCAUGAUGCGAUGCUUGCUACGAUCCGGUCACUCAAUUUGACACACAGGUGAUACGGCGCAUGCAAGAGUUAUGAUAAUUGAAGUGCUUACUUGUGCACGUCAAAGUUGUAGGGGCAUAGAUGUCAGUCGGGCCAAAUUAAAGGAUAUGUUCUUGUAAUGCCUUAUAUGAAGACGGUGUGAUGUAUUCUCUGUUGUCGACGAGCUUUACAAAUCUAUUU